CGAACUUUUAAUUUCGUCGGCUAAAGUAUAGUAUAGCCGACGAAAUUUUUUUUCGUCGGCCAAAGUUUUCCUUAGUAGACAAAAAAAAAUCUCGUCGGCUAUUAUCGAGAAAAGUCGUCGACUAUUAUUUCGUCAGCUAAAAGAAAAACAAUAAAAUGUUGUAUAACUUGCUUAGUAGGUUUUAAACAAAUACAAAAAUCUACAUAUAAGCAAAAUUAACAAAAAUCUCGUGAAAUAAGAUGUGUUCAGAAUGGUGAAAUAUGACUAUGGUUCAAAAAUCACGUAAAUCAGGUAACGUCUCUGAUGUAGAACAGUCGAAACUCGGUAUGCUGCAGAUUUGGCGUUCGGUGUCCGAUUGACUAUUGUGAUACCUUUCCGGAAGCGUAACGGUCCUACGAGUCAAACUCAUCGCUAUACCAUGACAUAUGGGCCUUUUUGGCCAUCCGAGUCCGUUUAGGGCUUCAAAAUGCAGUUUUCUUAUUUCUGAUUAGAGUUGACCGUUUUGAUCGAGCCCUUAACGUUGUCGGAUCCAGUUGAAUUUUUUACCAUAGACAUCUUUCAUCAUAAUGAUCAUAUCUGAUGGUCGAAUUUUGGUUUUUGAAUUUUAGUCAUCAGAAUUACAACAUGUCUACUAAUGUUGUAUAACUUGUUUAGUAGGUUAUACAACUUUGUGAAUCAACUCUACAUAGGAAGCAAAAUUAUCAAAAAUCUCGUGAAAUAAGAUGUGCUCAAAAUGGUGAAAUACGGCUAUGGUUCAAAAAUCACGGAAACCGGGUAAGGCCUCGGUGCCGAUAGUAGCGGUCAACCCUAUUUACUAUUAUUAUCCCCUAUGGGGAGCCUUAUUGCCAGAAGGUAAAUGUCUACAAUUUUUAUAUGGGUCAUUGCGUCUCAUCUACGUGAGAGUUUUUUGUGUGGAAGGUUUGACCAAACUAUGUAAUAUAGAGGGAGAUAUGAGCGUUUUCGUGUGAUAAGUGACGAUGGAUUAGGGUUGACCGUUUCGAUCAAGCCCUUAACGUUGUCGGAUCCAAUUGAAUUUUUUACCAUAGACAUCUUUUGUCAUAAUGUUCAUAUCUAAUGGUCGAAUUUUGGUUUGUGAAUUUUAGUCAUCGGAAUCACAACGUGUCUACUAAUGUUGUAUAACUUGUUUAGUAAGUUAUACAACUUUGUGAACCAACUCUACAUAGGAAGCAAAAUUAUCAAAAAUCUCAUGAAAUAAGAUGUGUUCAAAAUGAUGAAAUACGGCUAUAUUUCAAAAAUCACGUAAAUCGGGUAACGUCUCGGUGCCGAUAGUAGCGGUCAACCCUAUUUACCGUUAUUAUUCCCUAUAGGGAGCCCUAUCGUCGGAAGGUAAAUGUCUCAAAAUUUUUAUAUAGGCGAUUGCGUCUCAUCUACGUGAAAGUUUUUCGUGUGGAAGGUUUGACCAAACUAUGUAAUAUAGAGGGAGAUAUGAGCGUUUUCGUGAAUUUAUAGACUUUAGCCGACGAGAUAUUAAAACAGUCGUCGGCUAAGGUCAAAAUUGUUUUGGCGGUAAACCAAAUUUGGAGGAAAAUUUUCAAAUGACUUUGGCCGACGAAAAUAAUUGAAAAGUCGUCGGCUAAAGUUGAAAACAAAUUUGGUGGCAAACCAAAUUUGAGGGAAAAUUUUCAAAGGACUUAAACCGACGAAAAUAUAUGAUUUCGUCGGCUAUUGUCAAAAUUUUUUGGCGGUCAACCAAAAUUUUAAAAAUUUUCAAAGGAGUUUAGCCGACGAAAAUUAAGAAUUUCGUUGGGUAAAGUUUUUUAUAUAGGAGUUUUACCGGAGGUGGAUAAUAAGAAGUCAGAAAAUCAGAAAAAGUUAUUGUUUCGCCUGCCGGAUUUUCUUCUCGGCCUAGCUCCGUCGUCAAGCCACCGGAGACCGCCACACUUGUACUCAAAAGCUUCGUCGUCGUCUCUACUUCAUUGCUGGACAGGUGGUCCAUCGAGUGGCGUCCGCCGUGAGGAUAAAUCGAGCUCCAAAACUCCGCCGGUUCGGAUUCGGUGUCGAUCAAAUUUCUCUUUCCUCAGGUCACCAUUUGGUGAGUUAUAUAUAUGGAUAAGUUGAGUUUGAUUAGUACUACAUUCCCCUAGAAUUUGGUAGCUCGAUUCGGUGUGUGUGAGGAGAAUCGAAGAUUUGAAGUUUUUAGGGUUUAAAAUUGGGGAUUUUUAUAUUUUGAUUCAAUUGACCUGUUUAAGCUUAGAAUUGGGCUUGGACUUCUUCUAGAAAGUUGUUCGAAAUGUUGAGAGGAAGAUUCUGUCAAAUUUUAGUGGUGAUUGGAGGUGGUCGAAAGUUUCUGCAGUUUUUUUUUUCAAAAACCAGCAACUUUAGCCGACGAUAUUUAAAUAAUUCAGCCGACGAUAUUUAAAUACUUUAGCCGAAGAAUUAUGACUAUAUUUCGUCGGCUAUAGUUAUUUUUUAAUUUUUUAUUACAUACUUUAGCCGACGAAUAUCGUCAUCGGCUAAAGUCUCAGACUAUGGUCGACGAAACAUUUAAGAUAUUCGUCGGCUAAAGUCCCAGAUAAUAGCCGACGACGUCUUCUGUCGUCGGCUAAAUAGUGGACAAUAGCCGACGACGAUUUCUAGUUUCGUCGGCUAAAGUCAUCGCCGACGACCCUUUCCCGACGAAACUAUAGCCGACGAAGGCUCGUCGGCUAAGAUCUUAGCCGACGAAUUAAGCUAACAGGCCGACGAAACUUUUUCGUCGGCUAAAGUGAUUGUCCUGGUAGUGUUACGCCUCUUGUUGAAUUAAACUAUGUUCAAUACUAAUUGAUUCUCAUGCUAACAGAUAAUGCUUGAGUCCAAUUUUGAUCUUACAACAGCACCCAACAAAAAUGAAUGAAAAAUGAACAAGAUUUACUCCAUAUAUAUAUGAGGGCAGAUAUAUGUUUUCAUUUUGUUCAUCAACAAAAUUGACAAAUCAAUACGUCUCCCUCCCCCUUGUAGUUUGAAAAUUAAAAACACAACAAUGCCACAGAAUCUACAUCUCAUUACUAAAGAGAAUAGAAAGCCAAUACCUGCCGUCUCCGCCCGUCUGAGUUUCUUCUCUUGGCUGACAGAGCAGAGCUGGACAACUAACGGGCCGAAGUACGUAUAGAACAACAUUAUUUUGUACCUUUUCUGUUAAUGUGACAAACGAGCUGAACUCAGACUCGACUCAGACUCGGACAAGAAAUCUAAC
rnacentral:lncRNA from 1 species